rnacentral:snoRNA from 1 species
UGGAUCAGUGAUGACUACCCGUGGCGUAUGAGUUAUGUAUGAUGAACACAUGUCUGGAACUCUGAGAUCCAA